UCAACUGAAUUUAAGAAAUAAUUGAUACAUGCAGCGACCUGCCAAGUCUGGGUACCAUUGUCUGGAAGAUGUUGAAUCAGCUGCAGACCAUCCUGAGACAGGAAGUCAGACAUCAAGGAAGAGGUCCUGCUACCCUGAGACAACACACACUGGAGAGGCAACACCCAGCCAUAGCCAGUCUCCACCACAGCCACGUGAGUGACCCUCUGGGGCACCUCGGCCAGCUAGCCCCACCUGACAUCUGGACUGCAAUUGCAUCCGAGUCCCAGAAAUGGAUUUCCUGAAGGAAAAACCAGAGGGCAAGCAAAAGGCUGUUAGCACAGGAGUUGACUUAGGACGGAGCCACGCAUUUUGCAGCUGGAUCUGGAAUCCAUCUCCAUGUAGGUCAUGGUCUGCUUCCCUCUGUGUCCCCUGACUCAUCUUGCAAAUCAAACUGGUUCCUGGAAGCCUGAGGUGUAUUGUGAAGGACAGAGAAGGAUGUGUUUAGGGGAGGUGUCAGCCCCACAUACAGAAAAAGUUACUUAGCUCUGGCAAGUUUUCUUCACUGCUCGGCGAGCUUUCCUCCUUUUCCUUAUUUAUCUAUGCUGUUUUUUUGCCCCAGAUAUGUUUCUAA